AAGGGAGAGGAAUACGUAGAAAUCUACCCCUGAGACCGGGAUAGCGUCGGGAAACUGGCAGUAAUACCGGAUAAUGUCUUAGGACCAAAGGUGUGAUUCCACUUGGGGAUGAGUCUAUGCCCUAUUAGCUAGUUGGUGGGGUAAUGGCCUACCAAGGCGAUGAUGGGUAGCGGGUGUGAGAGCAUGAUCCGCCUCACUGGGACUGAGAACUGCCCAGACACCUACGGGUGGCUGCAGUCGAGAAUCUUUGUCAAUGGACGAAAGUCUGAACAAGCGACGCCGCGUGCGGGAUGAAGGCCUUCGGGUUGUAAACCGCUGUCGUAGGGGAACAAAUGUACGGGGGUUCUCCCCUGUAUUUGAGUGAUCCUAGGAGGAAGGAGAGGCUAAGCUCGUGCCAGCAGCCGCGGUAAGACGAGCUCUCCAAACGUUAUUCGGUAUCACUGGGCUUAAAGAGUUCGUAGGCGGCCUAGCAGGUCAGGUGUGAAAUCCCCCGGCUCAACCGGGGAACUGCGCUUCAAACCGCCGGACUUGAGGGAGACAGAGGUGGGCGGAACAGAUGGUGGAGCGGUGAAAUGCGUUGA
rnacentral:rRNA from 1 species